rnacentral:misc_RNA from 1 species
UCGUACAAUGGAGAUGCCCCCAGGGUUGUCGCUGACCUUUGUUGGUCGUGCACGCCCAAAGUGCUCUCUCAUGUCCAUCUCUCACCCCUUUUGUGCAUCACCGCGUGGGGCUCCCCCCUCACUGGGAUUGUCCUCCCGAGGGGGGGUUUCACGUUUUUACGCAAACACCCCAAAUUUUUUUAAUGCAUGUGUAGAAUGUGUUACUUUAUUUGCGAUCAUGCGCAAUCAAUA